AGUGAACGCUGGCGGUAGGCCUAACACAUGCAAGUCGAACGGCAGCACAGGAGAGCUUGCUCUCUGGGUGGCGAGUGGCGGACGGGUGAGGAAUACAUCGGAAUCUACUCUGUCGUGGGGGAUAACGUAGGGAAACUUACGCUAAUACCGCAUACGACCUACGGGUGAAAGCAGGGGACCUUCGGGCCUUGCGCGAUUGAAUGAGCCGAUGUCGGACUAGCUAGUUGGCGGGGUAAAGGCCCACCAAGGCGACGAUCCGUAGCUGGUCUGGGAGGAGGAUCAGCCACACGGGAACUGAGACACGGUCCAGACUCCUACGGGAGGCAGCAGUGGGGAAUAUUGGACAAUGGGCGCAAGCCUGAUCCAGCCAUACCGCGUGGGUGAAGAAGGCCUUCGGGUUGUAAAGCCCUUUUGUUGGAAAGAAAUCCAGCUGGCUAAUACCCGGUUGGGAUGACGGUACCCAAAGAAUAAGCACCGGCUAACUUCGUGCCAGCAGCCGCUGUAA
rnacentral:rRNA from 1 species